UGAGCCAGAAAUAUGUACAGUGGUUGUGAACGUUUUAAACCUGGAGUCGAGGAAACCUGAACUACUUGUUUUAUGGUUUCAUGGAAAAAGAGCAAAUUUCUCACAUUGGUUUUGUUUCUGAUCAGA